GACGAACGCUGGCGGCGUGCCUAAUACAUGCAAGUCGAACGGUCUUUUCUAUGGAAGCUUGCUUCCACUGAGAAGAUAGUGGCGAACGGGUGAGUAACACGUGGGUAACCUGCCCAUAAGAGGGGGAUAACAUCCGGAAACGGGUGCUAAUACCGCAUAGUUUUCUUGAUCGCAUGAUCGAGAAAGGAAAGACGGCCUUUGUGCUGUCGCUUAUGGAUGGACCCGCGGCGUAUUAGUUAGUUGGUGAGGUAACGGCUCACCAAGACGAUGAUACGUAGCCGACCUGAGAGGGUGAUCGGCCCCAUUGGGACUGAGACACGGCCCAAACUCCUACGGGAGGCAGCAGUAGGGAAUCUUCCGCAAUGGACGAAAGUCUGACGGAGCAACGCCGCGUGAGUGAAGAAGGUUUUCGGAUCGUAAAACUCUGUUGUCAGAGAAGAACAAGUCGGAGAGUAACUGCUCCGGCCUUGAGGUAUCUGACCAGAAAGCCACGGCUAACUACGUGCCAGCCGCCGCAGUAACAC
rnacentral:rRNA from 1 species